GGGAGGGGCGCCGGGGCGGAGUGGGCAGGGUCCAGCCCCGGGGGCUGCACCCGGUCCCCUGCUCCCGCUGACCCCUCCCGCCCGUCCGGAGCUGCCCCAGGUGGCCCAGGGCAGCGUUGGCCGUGGAUCACAGCACAGGGCACUCUACGGCUGCCAGGCCUGCAGGCUGCCUGCCUCGGCUCACUCUGCAGGAGCGAGAGGGCAGCGUGCCCAGAAAUGGGAUUGGAACCGAGAAGGAAGAAGACACUGGUCCUGGAGCUGCUCAGGGAACGGCCACAGGAAGUGACUACGACAUCCCAGGUGGUGGGCGCUCAAGGGAGAAGGCCCAGAAGUCACACACUGACGCUGUGGCAGUCAGGCCACAUGCAGGCCAGGACACAGGCCAGGUUGUGUGGAGAGACAGAGAUGACCUGACUGCAGGACAGGGUCAACUGCAGGGUCCAGCGUCUAUGUGGCCAGAGCGAGCUGCCUGACCUGGGGCUGUACCACAGCCAGCGAUGGGACCCAGGCUGCCACCAGGUGGGGGCGCAGUGGAGUCCCCUGCUCUGCAGGGGGAGCCCGCAGCAGAUGUCUGAAGAGGAGCGGUGGAGAGAACACCCAUCCGCAGACUGUAGGAAGCGUGGGUCCCCCUCAGACCCACCAGCCUCUUGGGAAGCAGCCCUCAGACCGCAGAACAAAGCAGUCCUCCGGAGGCUCCAGAGGUGCGCUCCUCGGAGUUGAACCAUGAGCUGAAACUCAGGUCUCCAUGAAAGCCAGCAGUGUCCCAGCAGCUGCGGCUGUGAUGGCCAAAGUGCCUUGAGCAGGUGACAAGGGACAGGCCAGGUUGAAUAUUGACAGAAUACCACUCGGCACCAAGAGAAGUGAAUUACAAGGCCCUGAAAAGACAGGGGAGCAUCUUAAGGGCCCAGUGCCCAGUAGAGAAGCCCGUCUGAGAAGGCUGCCCGGCCUCGGUUCCUCCUGGACCUCUGCAGAGGCAGGGCCACGAAGAUAGGAAGAGAAGGGCUGGCUGGGGGUCUGAGGAGUGGACGGGCAGUGGAGGCCGGACGGGCAGUGGAGGCCACAUGGACAGGCGGGGACGUACUGCACGGGGGUACAUCUGCUUCCCCAUCUCCUGCCACACGGAGAGAGCCCACGUGGACUGACUCUGAUCACAGUGCGUCACCACAGGGUCAUCGGUCACACCAGACAGACACCCGCACGCAAGCUAUAGUAAUAGAGUAAGCACGGGAGCGUCCACUCACCUUUCUAUAAAUCCAAAAUGCUCAAAAAAUAAAACCUAUGAGUCAUGUGCGAGGAAGGAGCAGGAACAGGCCCAGGACCAGGUGCAGUGGUGCACACUGGAACCCCGGCUCGGGGGAGGGCAAAGUUCAAGGCCACCCUGGGCAAUCAAACUAAGAAAUAAAAAUGGCCAGGGGUGCAGCUCAGUGGUAGAGCACCCUGGGUCCAUCCCCAGACUUGGGAGCCUGGGUGGCCCCAUCCCUGUUGGAAGGGACACGGGGGAAAGGAAAUCUGAGGAGCUGGGAUCCACCAGUCCCUGAGCCACAGGAGGGGACAGAGGCAUCAGUAAGAGCCAGGGUGGGUGGGCUCUCCCUCCCUGUCCCACCCUCCCCCCCUCUCCCUUCUCCCCUGAUGAGCUGAUCAAUCGCUCAUCACUGCUUGAAGGAGGGUCCGACUCAAGUGUGGCCUCUUAAUCAGCACGCGGCCGUCCCAGGUUCAUCCACUGCCCUGCCCACCCACAAAUGAGCCCAUUGACCCAUCCUCGCCUCCCCCAGGGAGGCCUGCCUGGGCUCCGAGCGCCGUCUGGUGGCCGCAGGGUGAGCACAACACAGCCCGGAGGACCUGAGAGGACACGGAGGGCCAGAGGACUGAGGAAGGCCGCUCUCCGCCCCCUCAGGCGGCUCCUCCUCCCCAGUCCUCUCCCCCCACACCCUCCUUUGGAAGACACCAGAGUGCACCCCUUCUCCAGCCCCAGCAAAACACAUGCUGCCUGCCCUGCCCUGCCUCAGGGCCUUGGAGCGUGCAGGUCCCUGGGCCAAAACACUCUCUGCCACACCUGUCAGCCCCCCUCGGCUUUGUGGCCAGAUCCACCCCACCCAGCCGCAUCACCCCAGAUGGAUGGUGAGUGAACAAGGGUCGGAUGGGCUGGGAAACCCUGUGAACCAGCGUGGGGUCACCUGGCCAAACCCCGCUGUCCCCUCCUGGGCCUGGCAGGCCUGAGUGCUCAUCUGGGGCAUCCCCCAGGGUGUCUGGGUCCUGGGGUCCGGGUUCCUGGAGCAGGGCUGUGGGGUGUGCUGAAGGCAGUAGGACUUCCUCUGACAGGGAGCGCAGGCUGGGCCUGGGGAGUCCCUGGCUCUGUGGAAGCUCGACCUUCAGUCCCCAGGGUGGCUGCUCUCCCGUCCUUGUCCCCUUCCCGGGGCCCAGCCUGCUCUGGCAGUGCAGGUGUCCCAGACCUGUGUCCAUGCCAUCACAGCUCCUCCCUGCCCAGCUGCCACAGUCAGGUGGCAAGGGAGAGGGAAGCUGGCUCCCUGUGCUCCUUGUCCUAGGUGCCCCAGUGACCUGCAGUUCCAUGGGAACACUAGCCUUCUGUAGCCAGGCUGAUUUGGGGGACUUGGGGUGACUGCCUCCCCCAGCAGACUGGCAGCUGGACUGGCCUCAGCAAGUACCAGUGAGGGUGUGGACAGUGUCCCUGGCCCCAUCUUCUGGGUCCUCUGGCCUCCCCUGCCUGGGUCAGACCCUGGCCUGUGGCAGUCGUCAGGAGCCGUGAGUGUGGGUGUGGCUUCCUGGGGUGUCCCAGCUGUGGUGGGUGCAGCGCUGACCCUGCUUCCUGCUCCCCUUCCUGCCUCCCCCGCCCACAGCAGAGACUGGCAGGCCCAAGGUCAGCGGUCUGUGUAUCGACAGUGUCUGUCCACCCUGGGCUGGCGGGAGGGAGGAGACUGCGGCUCGAUAAGGCCCAUCUUGUGAGAAAAUAAAUUUGGCCAUUGACCCAGCAAGCAGACGUCAAUAAAUGAAUGGUUAAUACAAA